UACGGGGGGGGCAAGCGUUGUUCGGAAUUACUGGGCGUAAAGAGCGCGCAGGCGGUUGUGCAAGUCGCGUGUGAAAGCCCCCCGGCUCAACUGGGGAGGGUCACGCGAUACUGAUCGACUCGAAGGCAGGAGAGGGUAGUGGAAUUCCCGGUGUAGUGGUGAAAUGCGUAGAUAUCGGGAGGAACACCAGUGGCGAAGGCGACUACCUGGCCUGUUCUUGACGCUGAGGCGCGAAAGCUAGGGGAGCAAACGGG
rnacentral:rRNA from 1 species